AACGAACGCUGGCGGCAGGCCUCAAACAUGCAAGUCUAGGGGGUGUAGCAAUACAUCACCGGCGGACGGGUGCGUAACACGUGGGAAUAUACCUUUUGGUUCGGAACAACGCAGGGAAACUUGCGCUAAUACCGAAUGUGCCCUUACGGGGAAAGAUUUAUCGCCAAAGGAUUAGCCCGCGUCCGAUUAGCUAGUUGGUGAGGUAAUGGCUCACCAAGGCUCCGAUCGGUAGCUGUUCUGAGAGGAAGAUCAGCCACACUGGGACUGAGA
rnacentral:rRNA from 1 species